GAACGCGAAGAACCUUACCAAGGCUUGACAUGCACGGCGGCACUGCAGAGAUGUGGUGGCAUUUAGUUGGUCGUGUGCAGGUGGUGCAUGGUUGUCGUCAGCUCGUGUCGUGAGAUGUUGGGUUAAGUCCCGCAACGAGCGCAACCCUUGCCCUAUGUUGCCAGCACGUGAUGGUGGGGACUCCGUGGGGGACUGCCGGGGUUAACUCGGAGGAAGGUGGGGAUGACGUCAAAUCAUCAUGCCCCUUAUGUCUUGGGCUUCACGCAUGCUACAAUGGUUGGUACAGAGGGUUGCGAUAUCGUGAGGUGGAGCGAAUCCCUUAAAGCCAGUCUCAGUUCGGAUUGGGGUCUGCAACUCGACCCCAUGAAGGUGGAGUCGCUAGUAAUCGCAGAUCAGCAACGCUGCGGUGAAUACGUUCUCGGGUCUUGUACACACC
rnacentral:rRNA from 1 species